AUUACUCACUCUCCCUCAAGGGCUUCUGGAAUUGCCAGAGGCGAAGUCUGAAGUUCUUGGGGCGAGUGAAUAG